GACGAACCGUGCGAACGUUGUUCGGAAUCACUGGGCUUAAAGGGCGCGUAGGCGGCCCGCCGCGUCCGGGGUGAAAUCCUCCCGCUCAACGGGAGGACGGCCUCGGAUACGGGCGGGCUGGAGGGGGGUAGGGGCAGGCGGAACUGUGGGUGGAGCGGUGAAAUGCGUUGAGAUCCACAGGAACUCCGGUGGCGAAGGCGGCCUGCUGGACCCCACCUGACGCUGAGGCGCGAAGGCUAGGGUAGCAAACAGG
rnacentral:rRNA from 1 species